GACGAACGCUGGCGGCGUGCUUAACACAUGCAAGUCGAACGGAAAGGCCCUGCUUUUGUGGGGUGCUCGAGUGGCGAACGGGUGAGUAACACGUGAGUAACCUGCCCUUGACUUUGGGAUAACUUCAGGAAACUGGGGCUAAUACCGGAUAGGAGCUCCUGCUGCAUGGUGGGGGUUGGAACGUUGCGGCGGUUGGGGAUGGACUCGCGGCUUAUCAGCUUGUUGGUGGGGUAGUGGCUUACCAAGGCUUUGACGGGUAGCCGGCCUGAGAGGGUGACCGGCCACAUUGGGACUGAGAUACGGCCCAGACUCCUACGGGAGGCAGCAGUGGGGAAUAUUGCACAAUGGGCGGAAGCCUGAUGCAGCAACGCCGCGUGCGGGAUGACGGCCUUCGGGUUGUAAACCGCUUUCGCCUGUGACGAAGCGUGAGUGACGGUAAUGGGUAAAGAAGCACCGGCUAACUACGUG
rnacentral:rRNA from 1 species